GAUGAACGCUAGCUACAGGCUUAACACAUGCAAGUCGAGGGGCAGCAUGGUCUUAGCUCGCUAAGGCCGAUGGCGACCGGCGCACGGGUGAGUAACGCGUAUCCAACCUGCCUUACACUCUUGGACAGCCUUCUGAAAGGGAGAUUAAUACAAGAUGUUAUCAUGAGUAAGCAUUUUCGCAUGAUUAAAGGUUUACCGGUGUAAGAUGGGGAUGCGUUCCAUUAGAUAGUAGGCGGGGUAACGGCCCACCUAGUCUUCGAUGGAUAGGGGUUCUGAGAGGAAGGUCCCCCACAUUGGAACUGAGACACGGUCCAAACUCCUACGGGAGGCAGCAGUGAGGAAUAUUGGUCAAUGGACGAGAGUCUGAACCAGCCAAGUAGCGUGAAGGAUGAAGGUUCUAUGGAUUGUAAACUUCUUUUAUACGGGAAUAAACGGAUCCACGUGUGGAUUUUUGCAUGUACCGUAUGAAUAAGGAUCGGCUAACUCCGUGCCAGCAGCCGCGGUAAUACGGAGGAUCCGAGCGUUAUCCGGAUUUAUUGGGUUUAAAGGGAGCGUAGAUGGGUUGUUAAGUCAGUUGUGAAAGUUUGCGGCUCAACCGUAAAAUUGCAAUUGAUACUGGCAGUCUUGAGUACAGUUGAGGUAGGCGGAAUUCGUGGUGUAGCGGUGAAAUGCUUAGAUAUCACGAAGAACUCCGAUUGCGAAGGCAGCUUACUAACCUGUAACUGACAUUGAUGCUCGAAAGUGUGGGUAUCAAACAGGAUUAGAUACCCUGGUAGUCCACACGGUAAACGAUGAAUACUCGCUGUAGGCGAUAUACAGUCUGCGGCCAAGCGAAAGCAUUAAGUAUUCCACCUGGGGAGUACGCCGGCAACGGUGAAACUCAAAGGAAUUGACGGGGGCCCGCACAAGCGGAGGAACAUGUGGUUUAAUUCGAUGAUACGCGAGGAACCUUACCCGGGCUUAAAUUGCAACCGAAUAUGGCGGAAACGCUAUAGCUAGCAAUAGCGGUUGUGAAGGUGCUGCAUGGUUGUCGUCAGCUCGUGCCGUGAGGUGUCGGCUUAAGUGCCAUAACGAGCGCAACCCUUGCCGAUAGUUACUAACAGGUUAUGCUGAGGACUCUGUCGGGACUGCCAUCGUAAGAUGUGAGGAAGGUGGGGAUGACGUCAAAUCAGCACGGCCCUUACGUCCGGGGCUACACACGUGCUACAAUGGGGGGUACAGAGGGCUGCUACCACGCAAGUGGAUGCCAAUCCCAAAAACCUCUCUCAGUUCGGAUUGAAGUCUGCAACCCGACUUCAUGAAGCUGGAUUCGCUAGUAAUCGCGCAUCAGCCACGGCGCGGUGAAUACGUUCCCGGGCCU
rnacentral:rRNA from 1 species